rnacentral:rRNA from 1 species
GAUGAACGCUGGCGGCGUGCCUAAUACAUGCAAGUCGAGCGAACAGACGAGGAGCUUGCUCCUCUGACGUUAGCGGCGGACGGGUGAGUAACACGUGGAUAACCUACCUAUAAGACUGGGAUAACUUCGGGAAACCGGAGCUAAUGCCGGAUAAUAUAUUGAACCGCAUGGUUCAAUAGUGAAAGACGGUUUUGUUGUCACUUAUAGAUGGAUCCGCGCCGCAUUAGCUAGUUGGUAAGGUAACGGCUUACCAAGGCAACGAUGCGUAGCCGACCUGAGAGGGUGAUCGGCCACACUGGAACUGAGACACGGUCCAGACUCCUACGGGAGGCAGCAGUAGGGAAUCUUCCGCAAUGGGCGAAAGCUUGACGGAGCAACGCCGCGUGAGUGAUGAAGGUCUUCGGAUCGUAAAACUCUGUUAUUAGGGAAGAACAAAUGUGUAAGUAACUAUGCACGUCUUGACGGUACCUAAUCAGAAAGCCACGGCUAACUACGUG